rnacentral:rRNA from 1 species
CACUUAUCUGAGAGCUCGGACCAAGUUGUGUGGACCCUGGGGGGAAAGAAAAAAUUCACAACUAAAUCAGUGUAUGAGUACAUUGAGAGAAAUUUAGCUGGAUGCAACUACAAGUGGAUUUGGAAAGCUAAGAUUCCACUUAAAAUCCAAAUAUUCCUUUGGCAGCUGUUUCAAGAUGCUGUCUUGACAAGAGAUGUCAUGAAGCGAAGGCGCUGGGCUGGAAAUCUGAAAUGUUCAUUUUGUAGAGGCAAAAAGACCUCUCAACAUCUCUUCUUUAUAUGUCCUAUAGCCAGAGUGGUCUGGAGGACGGUGGGUUGUACGUUGGGUACUCAUAGAUACCCAAACAAUAUUUGGCACUUUUUUCCUGGUGUUAUGUUUUCCUCCCUGAUGGUGAAAGAUUUUACACCUUCGGAUUAG